rnacentral:rRNA from 1 species
UACAGAGGGUGCAAGCGUUGUUCGGAAUUACUGGGCGUAAAGGGCGCGUAGGCGGCCCGCUAAGUCGAACGUGAAAUCCCCGGGCUCAACCCGGGAACUGCGUCCGAUACUGGUGGGCUCGAAUCCGGGAGAGGGAUGCGGAAUUCCAGGUGUAGCGGUGAAAUGCGUAGAUAUCUGGAGGAACACCGGUGGCGAAGGCGGCAUCCUGGACCGGUAUUGACGCUGAGGCGCGAAAGCCAGGGGAGCAAACGGG